UGAGGAAUAUUGGUCAAUGGACGUGAGUCUGAACCAGCCAAGUCGCGUGAAGGAAGAAGGUUCUAUGGAUUGUAAACUUCUUUUAUACGGGAAUAAAGUGCGCCACGUGUGGUGUUUUGUAUGUACCGUAUGAAUAAGCAUCGGCUAACUCCGUGCCAGCAGCCGCGGUAAUACGGAGGGUGCGAGCGUUAUCCGGAUUUAUUGGGUUUAAAGGGUGCGUAGGUUGUUUUUUGAAGUCAGCGGUGGAAGUUUGUGGCUCAACCAUAAAAUUGCCGUUGAAACUGGAAGACUUGAGUGUGUUUGAGGUAGGCGGAAUGCGUGGUGUAGCGGUGAAAUGCAUAGAUAUCGCGCAGAACUCCGAUUGCGAAGGCAGCCUACCGGCUCCAGACUGACGCUGAGGCACGAAAGCGUGGGUAUCGAACAGGAUUAGAUACC
rnacentral:rRNA from 1 species